AUUUUUCGCAAUUCUGGCAGUAACUUACUUUAAACCCUGCAACAAUCUACUGUAUAUGAGUAUACAGUACACUACUGGGCAGAGCAAAGUAUUGUGGGUAAUAAACGGAUACUUAUGUACAGUACUGAUGUACUGUAAAUUAAUUUACAGUAGUACAAUCCCCGGGAAAAAAUUGACCAACCACAACGUUGCUCUAUUUGAAUAGACCUACACCCUUAAAAGAGAUUGGUUAAAAAAAUGACUAAUCUCGUUGGUUGAGGCAAUAUUGGUCAAAUUAACUGUGACAUUGGUAACUAUUAAACAAACAAAUUGGUUAUCUUACAAAGAUAUUGGUUAACUUUAAUAACAGAUUGGUUGAAAAAUGACUAAUAUCAUUAGUUAAGCAAAUGUUAACUAAGAGAUUGGUAACUGACGCAGGUCUGACGCUAAACGUCAAGUACGUAACUCUGCUUCUCAAUUUUCUGACAAAGCCGCCAUCUUUGUGCUGCAGGAAAGCCGUUUGAGAUAUUGGUGAAAUUCAAACACUUUGUGAGAUGACAGAAUAUUGCUGAAGGAUCCUACAUGGAAGCUGGCUGAUUACACGGAGUGAUUCCUCUGGUGUGGUGUACCUCAGAGAAAUAAACACUGUUGCAAGAGCUGAGAAGAUGGCCAAGAUAUCCUUAUUGCUGGAUGGUAGCUCUGGUCGUAGUGGACCAUAUCUGCAAAUGCUUCUGAACAUUGACAGAAUUUCUAAAGAUGACUGAGAAUAUUACUGAAGGAUCCUACAUGGAAGCUGUCUGAUUACACUGAGUGAUUCCUCUGGUGUGGUGUACCUCAGAGAAAAUAAACACUGUUGCAAGAGGUCACUGCUACUGCAGCAGAUGUCGCAAGUCUUUCUCUGCCCAACGCCCCAAGGCUGUUUGCACUUGGUUCAUUCUCAGAAUAAACCCAGAGGGCUCCAAAUGCCAGGCCAAGUCCAUCACCAGCAAGAAGACCGGUAAAAAGGUGCAAAGGAAGAGCAGCAGUGUCAACCCUGUUGUUGCUUCAUUCAUCAGGGAACUUGUUGAUUUUGACUGGCUGAAUUAUUAAUGCUUGACCUUUUGAAGUUCCAAUCAAUUGUUUCUUUUAAGUAGUUCAGUCCGAGCAUUGCACCAAAGGCUCGAGGCCCUGUUGUUCUUGCUGUGUUUUCCCCCCUUCUCCCCGUUUCAAAACUUAUUUGGCACAGUUUUUCGAUAUUGUGUCAUGUAUAAGACUUUUAAAAGAGUGACUCUAUUGCGCACCCUAGCACAGAGAUGUUCGGGGCUGGAAUAUAGUUAUAGUUAUAGAAUAUAGUUGAAGCUACGGACUCUGGACCUUCUUUGUGGUAUGUACUUAUCUCAUUAAGAUGAACAAAAAAAGGUCAAUACGAGCAUAUGGCCACGCCCAACAGGAAAUGAGAUAUUGGACUGUUUUCCAUUUUGCAUACAUUGGAAUUUGAAGCACCCACCACAAACCAUACAACAGUUUUGUCUUGAUUAAUGUUUGGGGUAUCUCAUUUUAAUAGAAUAGAAUCUUUUUAUUUGUCAAUGUGAAUGAAAUAAAAAAAAGAAAAAUAUGUAUACAACUGAAGAGUUCAGAUGCAAAACCCCCUAACUCCAUUUCUGAAGACCUGCACUUUUAUAUUUUUAGAGAACCCCAUUGUUGGUUUGGUUUACAUUCAUGUACUUGAUAAUACAUAUGAAUAGUUAUAUUACAUAAAUAAAAUUUUAAAAAUGUGGAAUUUUGAUAGCUUUGUAUUAAAUAAAAAUGAAACAAGAUUAUUUUCUGAAAUGGCACUUAUGGGGUUUUGCAUCUAAACUCUUCAACUAUAUACAAAGGUUAUGGAUUGUGCAUUUGUGAGAAGCAGGACCCCCUUCCUACUGGAGUAUGUUGUUAAAUUGUUAACCAGUUUUAAUUAAACAUUUUGAUUGCA